CACAAGCGGUGGAGCAUGUGGUUUAAUUUCGACGCAACGCGCAGAACCUUACCUGGGUUUGACAUCUCGGGAAUCUUGUGGAAACACGAGAGUGCCCUUCGGGGAGCCCGAAGACAGGUGCUGCAUGGCUGUCGUCAGCUCGUGUCGUGAGAUGCUGGGUUAAGUCCCGCAACGAGCGCAACCCCUAUCUCUAGUUGCCAGCGAUUCGGGUCGGGGACUCUAGAGAUACUGCCCCGGUUAACGGGAGGAAGGUGGGGAUGACGUCAAGUCCUCAUGGCCCUUAUGCCCAGGGCUACACACGUGCUACAAUGGGCGGUACAAAGGGUAGCGAUGCCGCGAGGUGAAGCCAAUCCCAAAAAGCCGUCCACAGUUCGGAUUGGAGUCUGCAACUCGACUCCAUGAAGCCGGAAUCGCUAGUAAUCGUGGAUCAGCAUGCCACGGUGAAUACGUUCCCGGGCCUU
rnacentral:rRNA from 1 species